AGAGUUUGAUCCUGGCUCAGGAUGAACGCUGGCGGCAUGCCUAAUACAUGCAAGUCGAACGAGGGUCCUUCGGGACUCGAGUGGCGAACGGGUGAGUAACACGUAGGGAACCUGCCCGUGCGACCGGGAGAACUUUCGGAAACGGAAGCUGAUACCGGAUAGGGACAGAGACGGCAUCGACUCUGUGUUAAAGGAGCUGCAAGGCUCCGCGCACGGAUGGACCUGCGGUGCAUUAGCUGGUUGGUGAGGUAACGGCCCACCAAGGCGACGAUGCAUAGCCGGCCUGAGAGGGCGGACGGCCACACUGGGACUGAGACACGGCCCAGACUCCUACGGGAGGCAGCAGUAGGGAAUUUUCGUCAAUGGGCGCAAGCCUGAACGAGCAAUGCCGCGUGAACGAGGAAGGUCUUCGGAUCGUAAAGUUCUGUUGAAGGGGAAAAAGAGCGGAGAGAGGAAAUGAACUCCGAUUGAUAUUACCCUUCGAGGAAGUCACGGCUAACUACGUGCCAGCAGCCGCGGUAAUACGUAGGUGGCGAGCGUUAUCCGGAAUGAUUGGGCGUAAAGGGUGCGUAGGCGGCCUGCUAAGUCUGGAGUGAAAGGUACCGGCUCAACCGGUAUAGGCUCUGGAAACUGGCGGGCUAGAGAGCAGGAGAGGGCGGUGGAACUCCACGUGUAGCGGUAAAAUGCGUAGAUAUAUGGAAGAACACCAGGUGGCGAAGGGGGCCGCCUGGCCUGUUACUGACGCUGAGGCACGAAAGCGUGGGGAGCAAAUAGGAUUAGAUACCCUAGUAGUCCACGCCGUAAACGAUGAGGACCAAGUGUUGGGGAAGACCCAGUGCUGCAGUUAACGCAGUGAGUCCUCCGCCUGGGGAGUAUGCACGCAAGUGUGAAACUCAAAGGAAUUGACGGGGGCCCGCACAAGCGGUGGAGUAUGUGGUUUAAUUCGAAGCAACGCGAAGAACCUUACCAGGCCUUGACAUCCCCCUGACCGGCGUGUAACGGCGCCUUUCCUUCGGGACAGGGGAGACAGGUGGUGCAUGGUUGUCGUCAGCUCGUGUCGUGAGAUGUUGGGUUAAGUCCCGCAACGAGCGCAACCCUUGUCCUCAGUAGCCAGCAGGCAGAGCUGGGCACUCUGGGGAGACUGCCGGGGAUAACCCGGAGGAAGGCGGGGAUGACGUCAAAUCAUCAUGCCCCUUAUGGCCUGGGCUACACACGUACUACAAUGGCGGCGACAGAGGGCAGCGAGCCUGCGAAGGCAAGCGAAUCCCAAAAAAGCCGUCCCAGUUCGGAUUGGAGUCUGCAACCCGACUCCAUGAAGUUGGAAUCGCUAGUAAUCGCGGAUCAGCAUGCCGCGGUGAAUACGUUCUCGGGCCUUGCACACACCGCCCGUCA
rnacentral:rRNA from 1 species